rnacentral:rRNA from 1 species
UACGUAGGUGGCAAGCGUUGUCCGGAUUUACUGGGCGUAAAGAGCGCGCAGGCGGUCGUCCAAGUCGCGUGUGAAAGCCCCCGGCUCAACUGGGGAGGGUCACGCGAUACUGCCUAGCUAGAGUCCCGGAGAGGUUGGUGGAACUCUCGGUGUAGAGGUGAAAUUCGUAGAUAUCGAGAAGAACACCGGUGGCGAAGGCGGCCAACUGGACGGUGACUGACGCUGAGGCACGAAAGCGUGGGGAGCAAACAGG